AGAUCUGGUUUGUGUUUAUGAAAAGACUGGAAAGAAAAGAUGCUGUGAAAGUGAAGAACAUAUUGUUAAGAAGUAAGCAAAGCUUGAGAAUUUCCUGGCAAGCAGUCCUUCGAGGUAAUUUUAAUUUUCCAGACAUCUUUAUCAGCUGUUAUCAACCGAUAGCAGCUAUUACUUGGAAAUGGAAAUUAUUGAAAAUGUUUAUGAGGAGAAGACAGCAGCAGCAGAGUUCAGGAUGUUGUUGCAUCCUGAUGCAUAUGAUCA